UAAUAAAUAAAUAAAAUAAUAAAAUAAAUAAAUAAAAUAUUGAAACAAAAUGUAAUAUAAAUUAUAUAUUCAUAUGUAAUCUCAUUCUAACUUUAUUUUGUUAUUAAUAUAUAUAAAUUGGCCUGAUGGGGAUGGAUAUGUCCCAGUUUUUUAUGUGGACCCCUAAGGAGCAUAGACCGAACAUAAGCGUGACCUGCCCUGCGGUUUCCAAUUCACUGAAGAUAACAGAACCCCCCAUGUACAGGUUUUAUCGUGUUUUGGAAAGUUAGAGAGUAACAUAUAUGAAAUUUGCCAGAUUGGUUAUGUUGCCUUUGAGAGCGUAUGGUAGCCCAGGAAUGAGAAUUACCCCCAUGAUGGCAUACAAUUUGCAAAAGUAGACAACCAAAGGUAUUGCAAGUGGGGUAUGUCCAGUCUUUCUUAGUAGCCACUUAGUCACAAA